rnacentral:rRNA from 1 species
CCCUACGGGGGGCAGCAGUAGGGAAUAUUGCUUAAUGGGCGCAAGCCUGAAGCAGCAACGCCGCGUGUGCGAUGAAGGCCUUCGGGUCGUAAAGCACUUUUGGCAGGGACGAGGAAGGACGGUACCUGCAGAAUAAGCCUCGGCUAACUACGUGCCAGCAGCCGCGGUAAAACGUAGGAGGCGAGCGUUAUCCGGAUUUACUGGGUGUAAAGCGCGUGCAGGCGGUUUGUUAAGUUGGAUGUGAAAGCUCCUGGCUCAACUGGGAGAGGUCGUUCAAGACUGGCAGACUAGAGAGCAGUAGGGGAAGGUGGAAUUCCGGGUGUAGUGGUGAAAUGCGUAGAUAUCCGGAGGAACACCAGUGGCGAAAGCGGCCUUCUGGACUGCAUCUGACGCUCAGACGCGAAAGCUAGGGGAGCAAACGGGAUUAGAUACCCCUGUAGUCCC